rnacentral:rRNA from 1 species
UGGGGAAUCUUAGACAAUGGGGGAAACCCUGAUCUAGCCAUGCCGCGUGAGUGACGAAGGCCCUAGGGUCGUAAAGCUCUUUCGCCAGGGAAGAUAAUGACGGUACCUGGUAAAGAAGUCCCGGCUAACUCCGUGCCAGCAGCCGCGGUAAUACGGAGGGGACUAGCGUUGUUCGGAAUUACUGGGCGUAAAGCGCGCGUAGGCGGACUGUUAAGUCAGGGGUGAAAUCCCGGGGCUCAACCCCGGAACUGCCCUUGAUACUGGCAGUCUUGAGUUCGAGAGAGGUGAGUGGAAUUCCGAGUGUAGAGGUGAAAUUCGUAGAUAUUCGGAGGAACACCAGUGGCGAAAGCGCUCUACUGGGCCGCAACUGACGCUCAGGGACGAAAGCUAGGGGAGCGAAAGGGAUUAGAUACCCCCGUAGUCC